AAUGAAGUGACUGAGGAUAGGUGAUAAAUUGUAAAUUUAUUUAUGAGGCGUGUGUCUCCUUCAUUA
rnacentral:tRNA from 1 species